UACGUAGGGGGCAAGCGUUGUCCGGAAUCAUUGGGCGUAAAGAGCGUGUAGGCGGCUCGAUAAGUCUGCUGUGAAAGUCCAGGGCUCAACCCUGGAAGGCCGGUGGAAACUGCCGGGCUGGAGUCCGGAAGAGGCGAGUGGAAUUCCUGGUGUAGCGGUGAAAUGCGCAGAUAUCAGGAGGAACACCAAUGGCGAAGGCAGCUCGCUGGGACGGUACUGACGCUGAGACGCGAAAGCGUGGGGAGCAAACAGG
rnacentral:rRNA from 1 species